AUUAGUGGCGAACGGGUGAGUAACACGUGGGCAAUCUGCCCUGCACUCUGGGACAAGCCCUGGAAACGGGGUCUAAUACCGGAUACUGACCUGCCAAGGCAUCUUGGCGGGUCGAAAGCUCCGGCGGUGCAGGAUGAGCCCGCGGCCUAUCAGCUUGUUGGUGAGGUAAUGGCUCACCAAGGCGACGACGGGUAGCCGGCCUGAGAGGGCGACCGGCCACACUGGGACUGAGACACGGCCCAGACUCCUACGGGAGGCAGCAGUGGGGAAUAUUGCACAAUGGGCGCAAGCCUGAUGCAGCGACGCCGCGUGAGGGAUGACGGCCUUCGGGUUGUAAACCUCUUUCAGCAGGGAAGAAGCGAAAGUGACGGUACCUGCAGAAGAAGCGCCGGCUAACUACGUGCCAGCAGCCGCGGUAAUACGUAGGGCGCAAGCGUUGUCCGGAAUUAUUGGGCGUAAAGAGCUCGUAGGCGGCUUGUCGCGUCGGUUGUGAAAGCCCGGGGCUUAACCCCGGGUCUGCAGUCGAUACGGGCAGGCUAGAGUUCGGUAGGGGAGAUCGGAAUUCCUGGUGUAGCGGUGAAAUGCGCAGAUAUCAGGAGGAACACCGGUGGCGAAGGCGGAUCUCUGGGCCGAUACUGACGCUGAGGAGCGAAAGCGUGGGGGAGCGAACAGGAUUAGAUACCCUGGUAGUCCACGCCGUAGACGGUGGGCACUAGGUGUGGGCAACAUUCCACGUUGUCCGUGCCGCAGCUGACGCAUUAUGUG
rnacentral:rRNA from 2 species